AUUGAACGCUGGCGGCAGGCCUAACACAUGCAAGUCGAGCGAGCGGCGGACGGGUGAGUCAUGUCUGGGACACUGCCUGAUGGAGGGGGAUAACUACUGGAAACGGUAGCUAAUACCGCAUACCAUCUGAUGUGCGCAGAUGGGAUUAGUUCGUAGGUGGGGUGCCGGCUCACCUAGGCGACGAUCCCUAGCUGGUCGGAGAGGAGGACCAGCCACACUGAAAUGGAGACACGGCCUAGACUCCUAGGGGAGGCGGCGGGGGGUAAUUUGGAACAAUGGGGGAAAGCUUGAGGCAGCCUUGCCGGGUGUGUGAAGAGGGCCUUGGGGUUGUAAAGCACUUUCAUCGGGGAGGGGUGACCCGCAGAAGAAGCACCGGCAACUCCGUGCCAGCAGCCGCGGUAAUAC
rnacentral:rRNA from 1 species